rnacentral:ncRNA from 1 species
UGGGAGAAGCUUAGAGGUUCUUGGAACUCUGUUUAUAUCACAGCAAAUUUCGGCAUGGAGGCCGAAAUAGAAGCAACGCAGCCAUGGAGGGCUGCUUUGCUUCGGUUGCGUCCGGUUGAGAAGAUAAAAUGCAGAGUUCCUAGAACAUCUUAGCUUCGGAC